GCCGGUGUGGCGGAAUUGGUAGACGCAAACGGUUUAGGUCCGUUCGCCUUGGCGUGCAGGUUCGAGUCCUGUCACCGGUACCA
rnacentral:tRNA from 1 species